UAACCCCAAUUGGAAGGGUGUCAAUACUGCACCACCGGUAAGGAAAAGUUGUAAGUGACCCUCAUCUGACAGUGUCCCCAAAAGAUAACGGUGGGGCCCUCAUCUGCUAGUGCUUAUCCACCUCAUCAACCCUCAUCUGAUAGUGUUGAUCUCUCAAUCUAUGCUAGCUACAUAGUUCUGGAAUGCAAGGAUGACUUUUAAG
rnacentral:lncRNA from 1 species